UGGGUAAGGUCCUGUGUGCCUUGCUGCUGAUCUAUGUGUUUCUGUACAAAUGAUAAUGCAAAUAUCCACUGUAAGAGGCAGCUAUCUAUUAACUUUAGCUAACUUGGGGUGACCAAGCUACAGUUUAACAAGUUACUUCAGGAGAAGGAAAGCUAACAAACCAUUUACAACAUCUCUCUCCACAGCAGGCUUUCUGAAGCAUAGGGUUGUGUUGUUGAAAGCUUUCCCUUUCCAAUGGCAGCAGUAGGAUCUUAUUCCUCUUUAAGAACCUAAUGUCAUGCACAAACUGUGCAGACCCAUUACAUUUUUAAAAGGUUUGGCCCUCCAAAUACAACCUAAAACAGGUUCUACCUCAGAAGAUGAGUUGUGUGUAGUAGUAGACCCUGGGCCUGAUCAAGCACAGGUAUAAAACCCCAUGUACGUUCCCUCAUGAAAUAAUGCUAAAACUUUACCUCCAGAGAACACUUGGCCAGACUAGUUUUGAUGUUUUUUAUUAGUAUUAUUUUAUUUUUAUUUUGUUUUGAAGGACUACGCAGCUUCCCGCAUGCCAUGAGCUUUGAGCAGAGAAGGUAUCGAAGGUAGUGAUCUCCCCGGAAAGGAGCGAAGGAGGUGGAUUAGAUCAUGCAUGAUCUGCUCUUUAGAUCAACUGAGCAAAAGUGAGGCAUUCCUGGAGAAGAAAGAGCAAUGCUGCAAGCAAGUCUAUACAGAUGGGUUGCAGGCUGCCCCUUCGCACACAGCACAGCCCCACAACAGGUCAUGGAGAGGAGGCUGUGUCACUUACUGGCCCUAAAGUGUGGAGUCUGACCUGUUAAAAGACAGUAUGUGCUUAUUUAAAUCGUGAAGUGUCACUGAGUACCAGCAAUAAAAACAUAUCUGUAAAACAUCAACCAAAAUAGUACCAAAUAUAUCCAUUUAAAGGAAUGCUUUGUGUCCCUCCGUUUCCUUAGACCUGCACAUGAUCUGUCUGCGGAUCGGUUACUGUCGCGGAAAGGUGGCAGCGGGCAGUUCUCAUGUAAGAAAAUACAAAUUGUAUGCUUGGUUUGUGCCAACUUCUGAUUUUGUGUGUGUGUGUGUUACGUUGUAUGUGAUUAUCGGUGUUCUAUUCUAAAUUUGAUUAAUUUGAAAUCAAGAUGGUGGGUGCAGAAAAAUAUUUGCAAGUAAGUUUUGUAUUAUUUCAUAUUCUUCUGGUUUCACUCUGGCCAUAUUCCUUCUGUAACAGAUUUCUUCAAACAUUCUGAGAAAUAAGUUAAUGGGCAGGAGCAUUUGAUGAACAUCAAAUUAACUUCCUCUAACAACCAAUAAAUGAGGUGACACGCUUAAAUUGUGUUUGCUCUGCAAAUUUGCUUUUUGUUUUUUAUUUAAACUACACGAAUAAAAG
rnacentral:lncRNA from 1 species